UUCAAAUGUUCAUCCACACGUUCAUGAGAACUCAUUGUCGCCUUAUCAAGUCUGGCAUCACCACUUAUACAUACACUUGGAAUAACAUCUUGACUGCCUACUCUCGCCGAAGUGGUCCUUUGGAUGCCCACAAGUUGUUCGACGAAAUCCCUCACAGAGAUUCCAUCUCUUGGAAUUCUCUCAUUGCAUCCUAUGUAUCACAUGGUUGGCAUUUUUCUGCAUGGUGUUUGCUGAAAACAAUGAUGAGAUUUGGGUUACUGGUUGAUCGGUAUACACUCGGAAGUGUCCUUAAGUCGGUUGCUAAUGCUGUCGAAGUUGGUUUUGGUCGUCAAUUGCAUGCAUUGAUGAUGAAGACAGGGCUUGAUCAGAAUGUGUUCUCUGGGAGUGCACUCUUGGAUGUGUAUGCAAAAUGCCGUGUUGUCGAGGAUGCUUAUUUAGUCUUUGUGUUUAUGCCGGAGCGGAAUUUGGUUACUUGGAAUUCGGUCAUUUCCGCAUGUGUGCAAGUUGGUCAGUUAGAAAUGGCCCUGCAGCUUUUUGAUGAAUUGGAAAGGGAAGAGCUUGUGCCUGAUGAAGCUACAUUUUCUAGCAUUUUGACAUUGGUUGACAAGCCUGAUUAUUAUAGUUUGAUGUUGCAGCUACACACGAAAAUUAUUAAGCAUUGCAGAGUGAUGGACACUGCAGUGUAUAAUGCAACUAUCACUGCAUAUUCUCAAUGUGGGUCUAUUGUUGAUGCAGUACAGGUAUUUGAAGGUAUGGGUGAUGUUAAAGAUUUGGUAUCAUGGAACUCUAUGAUGGCAGCUUAUGCUUUCCAUGGGAUUGUGGUGGAGGCGAUCAAGCUCUUUGUGCGAAUGCAACAACUUAGCAUUGAUCAAGACAUGUACACUUACACCAGUGUGUUGAGUGCUUGUUUUGAACAUGGAAAAUUUUGGCAAGGAAGAGCACUGCAUGGUUUAGUCAUUAAAAAGGGUCUGGAUAGGGAAGUACCGGUUUCUAAUGCUUUGAUUGCUAUGUACAUCAGAUACAAUGAUAACUGUAUGAUAGAGGAUGCAGUGAAAUGCUUCAAUCAUAUGGAGGUCAGGGACACAAUCUCAUGGAAUUCUAUUUUAACUGGUCUUUCACAAAACGGGCUAAGUGAGGAGGCAUUGAAGUUUUAUUGCCAUAUGCAAUCUUCCCAUAUUAGUAUCGAUCACUAUGCAUUUUCUGCUGUGGUACGAUCUUGCUCAGAUUUGGCAGUAUUUCAAUUGGGCCAACUAGUUCAUGGUUCAAUUCUUAAGUCAGGCUUUGAUUUGAAUGAAUUUGUGGCUAGUUCAUUGAUAUAUAUGUAUUCCAAGUGUGGUUUCAUUGAGAGUGCACGGAGAAUAUUUGAUUAUUCAAAUAAGGAAAGCUCUGUUCUAUGGAACUCAAUAAUCUUUGGGUAUGCGCAACACGGACAAGGUCAAAUUUCAGUUAGUCUUUUUUCUGACAUGCAAAAGUUUGAAGUAAAACCAGAUCAUAUAACUUUUGUAGGCGUUCUUUCUGCAUGUAGUCACAUUGGUUUGGUUGAAGAGGGAUUUGCUUUUUUGAAAUCGAUGGAAUCAAGUUAUGGAAUUCCACUUAGAAUGGAACACUAUGCUUGUGCUGUUGAUCUCUAUGGCAGGGCUGGGAGAUUCAAUGAAGCAAAAGAGCUAAUUGAAUCAAUGCCAUUUGAACCAGAUGCCAUGGUUUGGAUGACUCUACUGGGUGCCUGUAGAGUUCAUGGUAACAUAGAGAUGGCUAUUCAUGUUGCCAGACAUUUGCUAUUGCUAGAGCCUAGAGAGCAUUGCACUUAUGUUCUUCUCUCAAAUAUGUAUGCUCGGUUCGGGAUGUGGGACGGCAGAGCAAUGAUUCAGAAGGCAAUGAGAAGUAGAGGAGUGAGCAAAGUCCCCGGUUGGAGUUGGAUUGAGGUCAACAAAAAGGUGCACACGUUUAAUGCCGAAGAUACAUUCCACCCUAAGGCCUUAGAGAUUUAUGAUACAUUGGGAAUUUUGAUGGACGAGAUGCAAAUGAUUUGUCAUUUUCCCCUGACGAAGGCUGAGUUGUUUAUUCUGGAUCUUGAUUGAUGAAAGCAUGCCUAAUCCAAAAGAUUUAGGGUUAAAUUUCUAAUCCAGCGAGUUGGAGUUAGCAACAACUCCAUUUGUGGAGAUUCUGGAAGGAAUAUGACGAUGAUCUUGGGCUCUAAAAAUUUUUUUAAGGAAAUGGUUGAAGCACCUCAGAGGUUGCAGGAGAAGAGAAUAUAUACUCAAUCAAACCUUUAAGAUAUAGGGUAGCAGUAAUCUACCUUCCACCCCCCUCAGAUACACUGUUAGUCUCUAUUGCAAACUAGCUGAUCUUAAAAGGUACAUGGGACGCAUAUAAACAUCACUUUCCAAUUCCACCACUUCUCUGGCUUCUCUCAUCAUCAUCAUC